GAUGAACGCUAGCGACAGGCCUAACACAUGCAAGUCGAGGGGUAACAUUGGUGCUUGCACCAGAUGACGACCGGCGCACGGGUGCGUAACGCGUAUGAAACCUACCUUAUACUGGGGGAUAGCCCGAAGAAAUUCGGAUUAAUACCCCAUAAUGAUGUAAGACCGCAUGGUUUAACAUUUAAAACUCCGGUGGUAUAAGAUGGUCAUGCGUGACAUUAGCUAGUUGGUGAGGUAACUGCUCACCAAGGCAACGAUGUCUAGGGGUUCUGAGAGGAAGGUCCCCCACACUGGUACUGAGACACGGGACCAGACUCCUACGGGGAGGCAGCAGUGAGGAAUAUUGGUCAAUGGACGCAAGUCUGAACCAGCCAUGUCGCGUGCAGGAAGACUGCCCUAUGGGUUGUAAACUGCUUUUAUACGGGAAGAAUACAGCUACGUGUAGUUGUUUGCCGGUACCGUAUGAAUAAGCAUCGGCUAACUCCGUGCCAGCC
rnacentral:rRNA from 1 species